rnacentral:misc_RNA from 1 species
AAGUCGUAACAAGGUUUCCGUAGGUGAACCUGCGGAAGGAUCAUUACCGUGCCCGCGGCCGCCGGCCCCCCCUGUAAACAGAGGAGGCGUCUGGCCGGCGCCGCGUUUGGCCCAACCGUGUCUAUCUGUACCUGUUGCUUCGGCGGGCCUGCGGGUCUCGCUCGCUGCCGGGGGCCCUUGAGGUUCCGGGCGCGCGCCCGCCGAAGACACUUGGAACUACUGUUGAAGUUGGCGGUCUGAGUAGCUUGAUAAUUGUUAAAACUUUCAACAACGGAUCUCUUGGUUCCG